rnacentral:lncRNA from 1 species
CCCGCCGAUUGGUGACAGCGCAGCCGGUGAGGGCGGGCGUUGCUGGGGGCGAUGCGGGCGGCAGUGUGGACGGCGCGCUCGGCGCUGCUGUACUCGGUGGGCGGUUGGACGAUGCUGGGGGCCCUGCUCCACCACACCCAGACCAGCGGCGGCGGCGGAGGCGGGGGGCCCGAGAAGGAAAGUGAUCCUGAGGCAAGCCAAACAGCCCGAAGAGAAGUAAUUACUACCAAUACACCUAUAGGCAUACAAAUCACAACAGUGGUGACGUACCAGGAGAAGCCUGAAACUCCUCUGGCUCGACUGUGCCAGCGUGUGAAAUUAUUCUUUGAUUCCCUUGAUGAUGGUUCUUCUAAAAAUUAAUGCGGUCUGGAAACUUGGAAUUUUGUGCUGAUGCAGAGGAGAGCUGGCUUAUCCAAGAAGUUCAUCUUGAUACGUGAUAUCAGAAUGCCAGUGGAAAACUUUCUCUUGCAUCGUUGAAACAACAGGUCCAUAUCCGAAAUAACUUUGCAAAGCUUUGCAGAUCUUCUCAUCUGCUCAAAUCAAUGGCUUUCUUUGCACAUGUAUUCAAAUUAUUAAACAUGAACUGUCUUCAACUAAAUGUUGUAAGAGGUGUUAAUGAAACUGCAUGCUACCUGGUGUCCGGUGUCCGACAAACAGUGGCUGUUGCUGCAUUUUUUUGAAAUGGAUUUGUUGGUGUGCAGGACCUACAUGGGUGAUCUGGAAUCUGUCUACUGAUUCAGUUCCUCAACUGGUUGUUUGGGAACAACUGGUAAACUGGAAGGAAUGUGUUUGAUCUUUGGGGUAUUAGAAUUGUAUUGUCCUUCAAAACUUUACAAGGUGAAUGAUUUUGGUGAAACAUGAAUUACAAAGGUAGAAAUGCUAUUGCUGGAAGCACUUGCAUUGUAAAUUCAGUAACACUAUUGGUUUCUGUAACAUUUUAAGAACACAGCUAACAUACCUGAAAAUGUAUUAAGUUGCCAAGGAAAGAUGUUCUUUCAAUUGCAAGCCUGGAGAAUUUUCUGAAAGACAUCAAAGAAGCUUUGCACUUUUUUUCUUGGUUUUGUAACAUAGUCCUAAUUCAGCCCCUCCUGUAUCAAUGAUGACAGUAGUAAUGAAGAUCCAGGACAACAGACUUCUAUUGUAAAUAGAACAGGUUUAGUUGUAAGCAUGCAUUAACUUGGGAAAAAAAAGUUACAGUCACAGUGCUUUUUCUCUUGUCUUUACAAUCGCCUUGAGCAUGUACAGGUGAGUGAAUAAGGUACAAAUUACUGAGAAAUGACAGGAAGACAACUAKUUUAAGAAUUCAGUGGCUGAAAUAACCUUUCAGAUGAUAAUUUAUCAUGAGGCAAAAGUUUUCAGUAGUGGUUCCCAAUCUAUUUGAUAAGGCAGACCUUGUAACUACCACUGCUUCCUUUUCCUUAGCUGCUUCAUCUUCCAGAUGUUGCCACUGUGUACCGGUGGCAGCUUUUGACAAGGAACRCAAGCUAGUUAGUUGGGCAGAACUUAACAGCUUUCACUGUACCUCGCCCCUGGCUUUUGAUGUUAACAAGUCUCACUAGCCAGUUAUGUCUCACUGAUUCUCUAUUUACUAGCCUGUGGUAGUGGUGUAGUAGUGUACAUGAUGCAGGGCUAUUACGGUACUAGCACUUUAUGAAAAUUAAGAAGGAAAACAUAUCAUAAAGCUAAAAAUAAAGUUUAUCUUUUUUUUGAGUAUUAACUGAGU